rnacentral:tRNA from 1 species
GGGGUUGUGGCUCAGUGGUAGAGUACUCACCUAGCAUGUGGGAGAUGCUGGAUUCGAUCCUCAGCACCACA